AGUGAACGCUGGCGGUAGGCCUAACACAUGCAAGUCGAACGGCAGCACAGUAAGAGCUUGCUCUUACGGGUGGCGAGUGGCGGACGGGUGAGGAAUACAUCGGAAUCUACUUUUUCGUGGGGGAUAACGUAGGGAAACUUACGCUAAUACCGCAUACGACCUACGGGUGAAAGCAGGGGAUCUUCGGACCUUGCGCGAUUGAAUGAGCCGAUGUCGGAUUAGCUAGUUGGCGGGGUAAAGGCCCACCAAGGCGACGAUCCGUAGCUGGUCUGAGAGGAUGGGCAGCAACACUGGAGCGGAGACACGGUCCAGACUCCUACGGGAGGCAGCAGGGGGGAAUAUUGGACAAGGGGCGGAAGCAUGAUCCAGCCAUACCGGGUGGGUGAAGAAGGCCUGCGGGUUGUAAAGCCCUUUUGUGGGGAAAGAAAAGCAGCAGGUAAAACCCCCGCUGUUAUGACGGUACCCAAAGAAUAAGCACCGGCUAACUUC
rnacentral:rRNA from 1 species